UACGAAGGUGGCAAGCGUUGUUCGGAUUCACUGGGCGUACAGGGUGUGUAGGCGGUUUGGUAAGCCUUCUGUUAAAUCUUCGGGCCCAACCCGGAAAGCGCAGAGGGGACUGCCAGGCUAGAGGGCGGGAGAGGAGCGCGGAAUUCCCGGUGUAGCGGUGAAAUGCGUAGAGAUCGGGAGGAAGGCCGGUGGCGAAGGCGGCGCUCUGGAACGUACCUGACGCUGAGACACGAAAGCGUGGGGAGCAAACAGGAUUAGAUACCCUGGUAGUCCACGCCCUAAACUAUGGAUACUAAGUGUCGGCGGGUUACCGCCGGUGCCGCAGCUAACGCAUUAAGUAUCCCGCCUGGGAAGUACGGCCGCAAGGUUG
rnacentral:rRNA from 1 species